UACGAGAGGCCCAAACGUUAUUCGGAUUUACUGGGCUUAAAGAGUUCGUAGGCGGUGCAGAUAGUGGGGUGUGAAAUCCCUCGGCUUAACCGGGGAACUGCGUCCGAUACUGGAUGGCUUGAGUUUGGGAGAGGGAUGCGGAAUUCCUGGUGUAGCGGUGAAAUGCGUAGAUAUCAGGAGGAAUACCGGUGGCGAAAGCGACUCUCUGGACGGCAACUGACGCUGAGGCACGAAAGCGUGGGGAGCAAACAGG
rnacentral:rRNA from 1 species